rnacentral:rRNA from 1 species
CCUACGGGAGGCAGCAGUGGGGAAUUUUGGACAAUGGGCGCAAGCCUGAUCCAGCAAUGCCGCGUGCAGGAUGAAGGCCUUCGGGUUGUAAACUGCUUUUGUACGGAACGAAACGGUGAGCUCUAAUACAGUUUGCUAAUGACGGUACCGUAAGAAUAAGCACCGGCUAACUACGUGCCAGCAGCCGCGGUAAUACGUAGGGUGCGAGCGUUAAUCGGAAUUACUGGGCGUAAAGCGUGCGCAGGCGGUGAUGUAAGACAGAUGUGAAAUCCCCGGGCUCAACCUGGGACCUGCAUUUGUGACUGCAUCGCUAGAGUACGGUAGAGGGGGAUGGAAUUCCGCGUGUAGCAGUGAAACUGCGUAGAUAUGCGGAGGAACACCGAUGGCGAAGGCAAUCCCCUGGACCUGUACUGACGCUCAUGCACGAAAGCGUGGGGAGCAAACAGGAUUAGAUACCCUGGUAGUCCACGCCCUAAACCGAUGUCAACUGGUUGUUGGGUCUUCACUGACUCAGUAACGAAGCUAACGCGUGAAGUUGACCGCCUGGGGAGUACGGCCGCGAAGGUUGAAACUUAAAGGAAUUGACGG